UUUUUUUUUUUUUUUUUUUUUGAGAUGGAGUCUCACUCUGUGGCCUAGGCUGGAGUGCAGUGGUGCGAUCUUCCCUGCAACCUCCACCCCCUGGGUUCAAGCAAUUCUCCUGCCUCAACCUCCCUAGUAGCUGGGAUUACAGGUGUGCACUACCACGCCUGGCUAAUUUUUGUAUUUUUAGUAGAGACAAGGUUUCUCCAUGUUGGCCAGGCUGGCCUCAAAUUCCUGACUUCAGGUGAUUCGCCACCUCGGCCUCCCAAAGUGCUGGAAUUACAGGUGUGAGCCACUGUGCCUGGCCUCCAUUACUUACUAUUAAGUCCAAGUAUGUGCACAGUUCUCUGUAGGCCAGUGCUGAGAAAUACCAAGUCAACGUUUUCAAAUCUCUUUUCAUCUGUUGCUUACUAAAACAAAUUUUUUACAUCAUUACCAUACUGGUGUUUAGAUGUCACACUAUUUUUGCAUUGGUGUAUUAUGUGGGGCCUGCUUCCUGAGCCACAGGGCAGUAUCGUAUCUCCAUCUUCUUUAUUGAUUCCUGUCAGCUUUAGGCAGAGUGGCCUUUGUGGACUUGGUACAGAAAAUAACAUUCUCAGGUCCAUGUGCUUGCACUCUGCAGCCAACUGGUAUCAGACCAUCUGGUCAAUCUAACAGCCUCUCUGCAUUCAGUUUGUCACCAUUUCUAUCUUCUAGUGUCAUCUGCAACAUGCGGCUAGUAAUGCCUACCUAGAAUUAAAUGUGAAAAUAGACAUAAAGUAUCCAGUAUAGGGUCUGCCACAGAGUAUGCAUUUGCCUAGCGAGUUGUUCUGCACAUGCAGGGGAAGGACUUAUUUCUACUGAGCCGUGAGACACAGGAACACUUGCGAGGGUGAAAAAACAAGAUGCAGCAGAGAUUGCAGUUGCUUAAUUAAAUUCAUUCCUCCCUUCAUUUUGGAAAGAAGAUUUUUAAGGGCAUCAAUGUGCCAAGUUAAGAUUAUAGUUCCCAGCUCUGCGAGGUCAUGAUGCUACAUUCGAGUCUGUAAGAUGUAGUUAGAAGGUUCUGUGUGGGGCUUCCAGAAAGGCUCUUUCUAAAAUAAGGAUGUGAUGGCUGGAGCUCCAACUACUAUUUUGGCCCAUAAGGCAGAUUUGUGGACGGAAGCGAGGCUGUGCGGAUGACAGAGCCGAACGAGUUUGGCUACCUUCCUCCCACUUUCUUCUAUGACAGAGGGGAAAAGUCCCUCGUGGGUUUAGGAUACUGGAAUCUGGGGGUUUCUGUUACACGCAGGCAAACCCCGUCAGCCACUCUGUAAACUGCUGGGCCUUGCCCUCACCCAGAUUCUGCUCCUCGGAUUUCUCUGAAUCACCUGGGGCCGCGAUGCCGUAAGAGUUGGGCCGCCAGAACCAGGAGAAGCAGGGGGAACAACACAGGAAGCAGGCCGGGAGAGAGGCGGCCAGACGUCUAGUUCAGUCCGCGCUGCUCCAGGGCUCUCCUGGCUCUUCCUCCUUCACUCGUCUCGACCCAGCGGCCGGGGAGCGCGAGGAGCCAGCUCCGCCGCCGUCCUUCUUGGCCCGCGCCGUCCCCUAGCCGUCCUCGCGCCGUUCGCUUCCCCAGGGUCCCCUUUCCGCACCCGCACCAUCCCCUCAGCCUCCCUCACGGUUCCCUCACCGCCCGCGCCUGUUCGAAAAAGCCC
rnacentral:lncRNA from 1 species